rnacentral:lncRNA from 1 species
AUGGAGCUUGGAGGUGAACAGCAGAGCCACCAAGGACAGUGUGCAGGAAUCAGAGUGAUGUUCUCUCUCAUGGGAAGAGAAAGCCGUACAGCAACUACACCAGGGCAGAACCCUCCAUGGGAGAUGACAGCCUGUAAACUGCUGGGACUACCAGAAAACACAAUAAACACCGUGAACCACCGGAAGGAGCCCGCCAGCUGCAGAAAGGCAGCAAGAGGAUCAAAAGAGCAAUGUCCCAGGAUUCAGGCAUACAACACACUUUCCUCUAUUGGAGCUCAUCAUUCCAUAACUCCAGAAAUUGCAAUAUAAACUUUGGCUACUAUGCAUGCUUCAACUUGAAAACACAGCAGUGAUCUGGAAUUUUAAUUCGAGCAAAUUUGAAAGUGGAUUAGAAAUAGGAUCCAGCUGUAUCUCUAAUAGUCAAAAGACAAAUUAGCAGAACAUUGGAGUCGAAAUGAACUCCGUCUUUCUUUUUGCAUUUUCCCUCCUUUUGCUUAGACCUAAAAUACCAUAAUUAAAUUGUCAUUUGUUCCUUACCUUGGUAGAAGCUCUCCCCAGCUGAACACAUCUCAGUUUCCAUCCUAAGCAUUUACCUACAGCACAGGGUUGGGGGAGGAUGGGGUUAUUACUUGUUUGAAGAAAUUAGAAAUCAGAGGUAUGCGCAGUCUGUCUGUUAUAGUCUUCAGCGUGCGUGUUGCCAGGCUCUACAGGUUAUACAUCAUUAGCGCACAGAGUGUCCAGGAGAGCCCAAAGCUUGUGCAGGUGUGUUGGCAAAGCUCACACCACUUCCCUCCCUCCUCCCUCUCUGCUGCACUUCCAGCAAGCCGAUACUUGAAACUCGAUGUGGCAAAAUCGCAAAGAGCUCUUCUAAACUUUGUUAGCUCGAAGCUCACCCAGCAGACGUGACUGUGAGAUGGCGCGUGGAACCUGGAAGGGACUCACUGGAAAAACAAAACCAUUGAGUCAAAAGCUUAGUGUGUUUUUCCAUGAUUGUAUGAAAAAAAAAAAAAGUGCAUGUGUGUUUUUUUAAGCGCUUUCAGAUAUUAGAAGUUUAGUGAACACAGAGACAGUUUCUUCUGUUUUUUCUUUUCCCCUGCCCUUGAACUUUCGGAAUGACUAUAGGGAAUAUAUUCCAGCCUGUUUUCAAUGACCCAUUCAUAUGGUGGUUUUAUUUCAGCUUUUCCCAAAAGGGAACAAGCUCCAUUCUAUCUCUGCUCCUGGCAUUAGCUGCCAUUAUUUGUGCAUCCCACUCAGAUAAUCAAUAAAGUGGAUGGCAUCUGAAAAUAAUUAUAUACA